CCGAGUUUACAACUCCCAAACCCCUGUGAACCUUACCAAUCGUUGCCUCGGCGGACGCCCCCGCGGCGGCCGCCAGAGGACCCAAACUCGAUGUUUCCUAUGUGGCACUUCUGAGUAAACAAGCAAAAUAAAAUCA
rnacentral:misc_RNA from 1 species